GUAUGAAGGUGAUCUGCCUGCGAUGUUUGUCACCCCAUUGGUUGCCAGGAUUAGGUGGCUGGUCUGGCUGGCUGGGUGGCGGUCCCCUUUUUCCUUCACUACUACGUAUACUUCCCUUCAGUAUCUGCAUGGCGGCUGGAAGAGGAAAACCUUCCCCUGAUAGGAAAUAAGUCUUGGGCCAAGGGUAUCAGAGUAAUGGCCCUCACCUGCUAGCACUUCCAAACAAGCUCUCAGAACCUACUUAAUAUUAUCUGAGGGCAUGCUCCAAGGAUGCCAGUGAAUGUUGCAUUUUUUUCCUCUACACUUUGGCCUAUCAU
rnacentral:snRNA from 1 species